UCCCCUAGUAACGGCGAGUGAAGAGGGAAGAGCCCAAGAUUGAAAGCUGGCGCUUUCGGCGUCCGCAUUGUAAUCUCGAGAAGUGUUUUCCGCUUCGGACCAUGCCUAAGUCCCUUGGAAAAGGGCAUCAUAGAGGGUGAUAAUCCCGUACAUGGCAUGGAGCGCCCGAAGCUUUGUGAUACGCUUUCUAAGAGUCGAGUUGUUUGGGAAUGCAGCUCAAAAUGGGUGGUAAAUGCCAUCUAAGGCUAAAUAUUGGGGAGAGACCGAUAGCGAACAAGUACAGUGAUGGAAAGAUGAAAAGAACUUUGAAAAGAGAGUUAAACAGUACGUGAAAUUGCCAAAAGGGAAGGGUAGGAGGUCAGAGAUGCGUCGCAGGAUUCAGCCUUGCUUUUGCUUGGUGUUUUUCCUGCGUUGCAGGCCAACGUCGGUUUUGGGCACUGGAGAAGGGUAGGAGGAACGUGGCACCUCUCGGGGUGUGUUAUAGCCUCCUACUGGAUACAGCGACCGAGACCGAGGAACGCAGCGUACUCGUAAGAGCGGGCCUUUUGGCACCUUUACGCUUAGGGCGUUGGCUUAAUGGC
rnacentral:rRNA from 1 species